AGCGAACGCUGGCGGAUUGCUUAACACAUGCAAGUCGCACGGGGGCUUCGGCUCGAGUGGCGGACGGGUGAGUAACGCGUAGGAACGUGUCUUGGGGUGGGGGAUAACGCUGGGAAACUGGCGCUAAUACCGCAUGUGGGCUGAGGCCCAAAGCCUUCGGGUGCCUUGAGAGCGGCCUGCGUCCGAUUAGCUAGUUGGUGGGGUAAAGGCUUACCAAGGCUACGAUCGGUAGCUGGUCUGAGAGGACGAUCAGCCACACUGGGACUGAGACACGGCCCAGACUCCUACGGGAGGCAGCAGUGGGGAAUAUUGGACAAUGGGCGGAAGCCUGAUCCAGCAAUUCCGCGUGGGUGAAGAAGGUCUUCGGAUUGUAAAGCCCUUUCGACUGGGACGAUGAUGACGGUACCUGUAGAAGAAGCCCCGGCUAACUUCGUGCCAGCAGCCGCUGUAACAC
rnacentral:rRNA from 1 species